CAUUAAAUGAUCCGCCUGAGUAGUACGUUCGCAAGAAUAAAACUUAAAGGAAUUGACGGGGACCCGCACAAGCGGUGGAGCAUGUGGUUUAAUUUGAAGAUACGCGUAGAACCUUACCCACUCUUGACAUCUUCUGCAAAGCUAUAGAGAUAUAGUCGAGGUUAACAGAAUGACAGAUGGUGCAUGGUUGUCGUCAGCUCGUGUCGUGAGAUGUUCGGUUAAGUCCUGCAACGAGCGCAACCCUUAUCCUUAGUUACUAACAUUUAGUUGAGCACUCUAGGGAGACUGCCCGAGUAAUCGGGAGGAAGGUGGGGACGACGUCAAAUCAUCAUGCCUCUUACGAGUGGGGCCACACACGUGCUACAAUGGCCGGUACAAAGUGAAGCAACCUGGUGACAGUGAGCAAACCACAAAAAGCCGGUCUCAGUUCGGAUUGGAGUCUGCAACUCGACUCCAUGAAGUCGGAAUCGCUAGUAAUCGUAGAUCAGCUACGCUACGGUGAAUACGUUCUCGGGUCUUGUACACACCGCCCGUCAAACCAUGGGAGCUGGUAAUGCCCGAAGUCGGUUUAUUAACAAACUGCCUAAGGCAGGACUGGUGACUGGGGUUAAGUCGUAACAAGGUAUCCCUAC
rnacentral:rRNA from 1 species